GGGCCCGCACAAGCGGUGGAGCAUGUGGUUUAAUUCGAUGCAACACGAAGAACCUUACCUAGCCUUGACAUCCUUGGAACCUACCCUAAACGGUGGGGUGUCCUUCGGGAAAUCAAGUGACAGGUGCUGCAUGGCUGUCGUACAGCUCGUGUCGUGAGAUGUUGGGUUAAGUCCCGCAACGAGCGCAACCCUUGUCUUUAGUUGCCAGCAUUUAGUUGGGCACUCUAGAGAGACUGCCGGUGUCAAGCCGGAGGAAGGUGGGGACGACGUCAAGUCAUCAUGGCCCUUACGGCUAGGGCUUCACACGUGCUACAAUGGACGAUACAAAGGGUUGCGAAGCCGCGAGGUGGAGCUAAUCCCAAAAAGUCGUUCUCAGUUCGGAUUGGAGUCUGCAACUCGACUCCAUGAAGUCGGAAUC
rnacentral:rRNA from 1 species